CUUGAGUUAUAAAUAUAAGAGGUCCAGCCUGCCCAGUGAUUAAAUUUAACGGCCGCGGUAUCCUAACCGUGCGAAGGUAGCGUAAUCACUUGUUCUUUAAAUGAGGACUAGUAUGAAUGGCACCACGAAGGUUUUACUGUCUCCUUUUCCUAAUCAGUGAAACUAAUCUUCCCGUGAAGAAGCGGGAAUAAGCGAAUAAGACGAGAAGACCCUAUGGAGCUUUAAACACAAUAACAAAUACUACUUUAAACAAAAAUUUCUUAAUGACUUACUCCCUGGUAUUAUGAUUAUUAGUUUUAGGUUGGGGUGACCGCGGAGAAAAACACAACCUCCACAUUGAAUGAUAAAAUUCUAAGCAAAGAAUCACAUUUCCACGCAUCAAUACAUUGACAUCAAUUGACCCAAUUAUUUUGAUCAACGAAC
rnacentral:rRNA from 2 species